rnacentral:lncRNA from 1 species
UUGAUAGUGGCAGGGGAACAUUUGGGGGACACCAGGAGUGUCUGCUCUAAUGAUUUGUGUGUUCACACACGUGCAUGUGUGUGUGUCUCACUGGUCAGGACCAUAGGCUAUUGGAUUUUUUUUUUUUUGGACAAAGUGGACAGUGAGAGAGAGACAGAGAGAAAGGUCUUCCUUUGCCGUUGGUUCACCCCCCAAUGGCUGCUGCGGCUGGCGCACUGCGCUGAUCUGAAGCCAGGAGCCAGGAGCCAGGUGCUUCUCCUGGUCUCCCAUGCAGGUGCAGGGCCCAAGGACUUGAGCCAUCCUCCACUGCACUCCCAGGCCACAGCAGAGAGCUGGCCUAGAAGAGGGGCAACCGGGACAGAAUCCGGCACCCCGACCGGGACUAGAACCCAGUGUGCCGGCACCGCAGGCAGACGAUUAGUCUAGUGAGCCGCGGCGCCAGCCAAGGCUGUUGGAUAUUAUGACCUUCCUUGCUUCUGGGGUGGGUCAUGAAAGCAAAGGACAGUGCCGUGUGCAGUCGUGUGGGAUGCAGGCGACCCCAUAAGGCCCCUUCACAUCAUGUCUAUCAGCACCAAGCCCAGUGCAGGAGGUUUUACAGAGAUACUCAACAAGUAAUGGAAAAACUGAAUUGAAAGGUAAGUUCAUGUUGUUGCCAACAAUUUUGAAAUCCACACAUAAUUUUUCAUAACACCCACUUCCAUGAACUUUUUGAAAAUACCUGUGGGGCCGGUGCUGUGGCUUAACGGGUAAAGCCGCUGCCUGCAGGGCCAGCAUCCCUUAUGGUCGCCGGUUCAUGUACCGACUACUCCACUUCUGAUCCAGCUCUCUGCUGUGGCCUGUGAAAGCAGUAGAAGAUGGCCCCAGUCCUUGGGCCCCUGUACCCACAUGGGAGACCCAGAAGAAUCUCCUUGUUCCUGGCUUCAGACUGGUGCAGCUCCAGCUGUUGUACCCAUUAGGGAGUGAACCAGCAGAUGCAAGACCUUUCCCUCCCUCUUUCUCUCUCUCUCUGCCUCUCCUUCUCUCUAUGUGUAACUCUGACUUUCAAAUAAAUAAAUAAAUAACUUUUUUUAAUAAAGAAGA